rnacentral:rRNA from 1 species
GACGAACGCUGGCGGCGUGCUUAACACAUGCAAGUCGAACGGUAAGGCCCUUCGGGGUACACGAGUGGCGAACGGGUGAGUAACACGUGGGUGAUCUGCCCUGCACUUCGGGAUAAGCCUGGGAAACUGGGUCUAAUACCGGAUAGGACCCUGGGAUGCAUGUCCUGGGGUGGGAAGCUUUUGCGGUGUGGGAUGGGCCCGCGGCCUAUCAGCUUGUUGGUGGGGUGAUGGCCUACCAAGGCGACGACGGGUAGCCGGCCUGAGGGGGUGACCGGCCACACUGGGACUGAGAUACGGCCCAGACUCCUACGGGAGGCAGCAGUGGGGAAUAUUGCACAAUGGGCGCAAGCCUGAUGCAGCGACGCCGCGUGAGGGAUGACGGCCUUCGGGUUGUAAACCUCUUUCAGCACCGACGAGGCGCAAGUGACGGUAGGUGCGGAAGAAGGACCGGCCAACUACGUGCCAGCAGCCGCAGUAA